rnacentral:rRNA from 1 species
UACGGAGGUGGCGAGCGUUGUCCGAAGUUACUGGGCGUAAAGCGCGUGUAGGCUGUCUCGCAAGUCGGGUGUGAAAGCCCUGGGCUCAACCUAGGAAGUGCACUCGAAACUGCGAGACUUGAGUCCUGGAGAGGAAGGCGGAAUUCUCGGUGUAGAGGUGAAAUUCGUAGAUAUCGAGAGGAACACCGGUGGCGAAGGCGGCCUUCUGGACAGUGACUGACGCUGAGACGCGAAAGCGUGGGGAGCAAACAGG